rnacentral:snRNA from 1 species
GAUCACGAGGGUUGAUUGACCCGGCUGGUCCGGCAGGUUAGGUGGGUGUCCCCUUCCUCCCUUGUCGCUUCAUGCGUGUCUCAGAGGAAGCUACAUGCUCAGUGGAAGAGCAGGACCAUCCCUCGUAGAGAUGGACCAUUUCCUCAAUCAAGGGUGUACUAGUAGCUGCAUUCCCCUGCUAGAAUCUCCAGCAAGCAUUCAAGAAAUGCAGGGAGGGAGAUAAGAGAGAGAAAAAUGGGGUAUUAAUAUGAUACAAGACUUGCCAUGUACAUGUUCUAACUAUU